UACGGGAGGCAGCAGUGGGGAAUAUUGCACAAUGGGCGCAAGCCUGAUGCAGCCAUGCCGCGUGUAUGAAGAAGGCCUUCGGGUUGUAAAGUACUUUCAGUCGUGAGGAAGGUGUUAAGGUUAAUAACCUUAGCAAUUGACGUUAGCGACAGAAGAAGCACCGGCUAACUCCGUGCCAGCAGCCGCGGUAAUACGGAGGGUGCGAGCGUUAAUCGGAAUUACUGGGUGUAAAGGGCACGCAGGCGGUUAAUUAAGUUGGAUGUGAAAUCCCCGGGCUUAACCUGGGAAUGGCAUUCAAGACUGGUUAGCUAGAGUCUUGUAGAGGGGGUAGAAUUCCAUGUGUAGCGGUGAAAUGCGUAGAGAUGUGGAGGAAUACCGGUGGCGAAGGCGGCCCCUGGGACAAAGGACUGACGCUCAUGUGCGAAAGCGUGGGGAGCGAAACAGGGAUUAGAUACC
rnacentral:rRNA from 1 species